rnacentral:rRNA from 1 species
GAUGAACGCUGGCGGCGUGCCUAAUACAUGCAAGUCGAGCGAAUGGAUUAAGAGCUUGCUCUUAUGAAGUUAGCGGCGGACGGGUGAGUAACACGUGGGUAACCUGCCCAUAAGACUGGGAUAACUCCGGGAAACCGGGGCUAAUACCGGAUAACAUUUUGAACCGCAUGGUUCGAAAUUGAAAGGCGGCUUCGGCUGUCACUUAUGGAUGGACCCGCGUCGCAUUAGCUAGUUGGUGAGGUAACGGCUCACCAAGGCAACGAUGCGUAGCCGACCUGGUAGGGUGAUCGGCCACACUGGGACUGAGACACGGCCCAGACUCCGACGGGGGGCAGCAGUAGGGAAUCUUCCGGAAUGGACGAAAGUCUGACGGAGCAACGCCGCGUGAGUGAUGAAGGCUUACGGGUCGUAAAACUCUGUUGUUAGGGAAGAACAAGUGCUAGUUGAAUAAGCUGGCACCUUGACGGUACCUAACCAGAAAGCCACGGCUAACUACGUGCCAGCCACCGCAGUAA